UACGGAGGGAGCUAGCGUUGUUCGGAAUUACUGGGCGUAAAGCGCACGUAGGCGGUUGGUUAAGUUGGAUGUGAAAGCCCCGGGCUCAACCUGGGAAUUGCAUUCAAAACUGGCCAACUAGAAUACGGGAGAGGGGGGUAGAAUUCCAAGUGUAGCGGUGAAAUGCGUAGAGAUUUGGAGGAAUACCAGUGGCGAAGGCGGCCCCCUGGCCCGAUAUUGACGCUGAGGUGCGAAAGCGUGGGGAGCAAACAGG
rnacentral:rRNA from 1 species